rnacentral:rRNA from 1 species
GGGUUGUGAGGUUAAGCGACUAAGCGUACACGGUGGAUGCCCUGGCAGUCAGAGGCGAUGAAGGACGUGCUAAUCUGCGAUAAGCGUCGGUGAGGUGAUAUGAACCGUUAUAACCGGCGAUUUCCGAAUGGGGAAACCCAGUGUGUUUCGACACACUAUCAUUAACUGAAUCCAUAGGUUAAUGAGGCGAACCGGGGGAACUGAAACAUCUAAGUACCCCGAGGAAAAGAAAUCAACCGAGAUUCCCCCAGUAGCGGCGAGCGAACGGGGAGCAGCCCAGAGCCUGAAUCAGUGUGUGUGUUAGUGGAAGCGUCUGGAAAGGCGCGCGAUACAGGGUGACAGC